AUACGGAGGGUGCAAGCGUUAUUCGGAAUCACUGGGCGUAAAGGGUGCGUAGGCGGUUUGAUAAGUCUGAUGUGAAAUCCUAUGGCUCAACCAUAGAACUGCAUUGGAAACUGUCAGACUAGAAUACUGAAGGGGCAGAUGGAAUUAGUGGUGUAGGGGUAAAAUCCGUAGAUAUCACUAGGAAUACCGAAAGCGAAAGCGAUCUGCUGGGAAGCUAUUGACGCUGAGGCACGAAAGCGUGGGGAGCAAACGGGAUUAGAAACCCGGGUAGUCC
rnacentral:rRNA from 1 species